UCUUUUGUCUGAAGAAACGUUUAGCAUGUGAAUUCUGUAUAAUGUUUUAUUGAUUAGGUCAAACAGUUAAAGGCGAAUGUCACUCAUUUUAAGUUCACAUUAGUUGUUUCUGUGCUUUCGAUCCAUACUCAGACAGCACUGACGGCCUGACCUUGCUUUUGUAAUAUUUCAGACUUUUGUCUUUUAAACUUUGUUUUAGACUUUUCUAUAUUCCAUGAUGACCCCUCAUAUGGACAUGAGGGGAAAAAAGACAGAAACAGAAAUAAGUUUCCUGUCAUAGCUGCACAGCAAAUGAAGGAGAGCUGACGUUGAGCAACAUGGAAGAUAACUGCAGUGGCUUGUUCGCUGAGUAAACUGUGAACCUGCUGGACCAGAUACUGAUGAGCUUGACCAAGACCAGGACAAUGGCACAGCACCUGUCGGUCCAAUUUACACUAUACUUGUCUGUUUUUUGACUCCUUAAAGUGCGGAUGCUAUGUCAGCCUAUAAAAGAGAAAUGAGUUUUAAGCACAUUGUUGAGUUUAACACAUUUUUAUUUAGUACAGCAACAAGAUCUUUGUAUGAAAAUAAAUCUAAGCAGUAAAAAAGAGUAACUGGUACAAAUGUAUCAGCCUUUCCAUCCAUUCAGCAUUCAUCAUAUUCACUCCACCAAAAGCCAUUCAGAGCACACACUGAAAUGCAAAGUGGACCAUCAAGCAAACAGCCUUACUGAGUACUUGAA